rnacentral:rRNA from 1 species
UAAGAAUAUUCCGCAAUGGACGAAAGUCUGACGGAGCGACGCCGCGUGGAUGAAGAAGGCCGAAAGGUUGUAAAGUUCUUUUGUUGGGGAAGAAUAACCAUGGGAGGGAAUGCCCGUGGGAUGACAUGAACCGACGAAUAAGCCCCGGCUAACUACGUGCCAGCAGCCGCGGUAACACGUAGGGGGCGAGCGUUGUUCGGAAUUACUGGGCGUAAAGGGCAUGUAGGCGGUCUUGUAAGCUUGGCGUGAAAGACCACGGCUCAACCGUGGGAUUGCGUUGAGAACUGCGAGGCUUGAGUGACGGAGAGGGAGCUAGAAUUCCUGGUGUAGGGGUGGAAUCUGUAGAGAUCAGGAAGAAUACCAAUGGCGAAGGCAAGCUCCUGGCCGAUGACUGACGCUGAGGUGCGAAAGUGUGGGGAUCAAACA